GGAGUUGUAAACUGGCAUAAAAUGGGGUUUAGAAUCCAGGGCUAAUUGCGUUGGGCAAGGUAAUCUGGACGAACGCUUGGGCUCUGGUUGGGAAUUUCCUGAAGACGGGUGUGAUUCGUUUGCUGAAUACCUUGGACCUCCGUCGUCUUUUUGACGGACGCUAAUUGCCUACUCUGGACUGACUGACUGAUUGACUGGCUGACUGACUGACUACGACCUCGGACUAUCCUUCCUGUGGCUAUCGUUGGAACUGGUGAACUACAAACAUCUGUACCUGGCUUAUGACCUUCGGACCGGAUUGGGACCUCGCUGACCGCUGCUGCCCCUGAUUGAUGUGUUUGAACUCGGAGAUUGUUUGCUGCUCGGAGGAGUAACUUCUUAGUUACUCAAUCACAGCUUUUGGUUGCAGAGAAGUAUCUGCUGCCAGUUAUUUGUGUUUCUUUGAACCUUUGUUUACCAGCUUCUGUUUGUUUAUAGUCCCAGGCUGAAGUAAGCAUUUUUGGUUUAACCCGGAUUAAACUCCAGUUUAAUCCGGUUUAUCUUUUGAACGUUUUUUAGUUCCUUUUUACUUUGAAGGCCAGUGUUUGCCUUGCCCUUUGUCUUUUACGGGCAUUUUUGGUUCUGUAACUUUAAUAAACUGUGUUGAAUCUUA